rnacentral:rRNA from 1 species
AACGAACGCUGGCGGCAGGCUUCAUACAUGCAAGUCGUACGAUUAAAGCCCCUUCGGGGGGUAUAUAAAGUGGGCGAACGGGUGAGUAACAGGUGGAUAAUCUACCUUUCGGUGGGGGAUAACGGCUGGAAACGGCCGCUAAUACCGCAUUCGAUUGCGGGGACUAUGGUUCCUGCAAAGAAAGACGCUGCAAGGCGUCGCCGGAAGAUGAGUCCGCCCCCCAUUAGCUAGUUGGCGGGAUAAUAGCCCACCAAGGCUUUGAUGGGUAGCCGAGCUGAGAGGUUGAUCGGCCACACUGGAACUGAGACACGGUCCAGACACCUACGGGUGGCAG